rnacentral:tmRNA from 1 species
GGGGCUGAUUCUGGAUUCGACGGGAUUUGCGAAACCCAAGGUGCAUGCCGAGGGGCGGUUGGCCUCGUAAAAAGCCGCAAAAAAUAGUCGCAAACGACGAAACCUACGCUUUAGCAGCUUAAUAACCUGCUUAGAGCCCUCUCUCCCUAGCCUCCGCUCUUAGGACGGGGAUCAAGAGAGGUCAAACCCAAAAGAGAUCGCGUGGAUGCCCUGCCUGGGGUUGAAGCGUUAAAACGAAUCAGGCUAGUCUGGUAGUGGCGUGUCCGUCCGCAGGUGCCAGGCGAAUGUAAAGACAGACUAAGCAUGUAGUACCGAGGAUGUAGGAAUUUCGGACGCGGGUUCAACUCCCGCCAGCUCCACCA